rnacentral:rRNA from 1 species
GACGAACGCUGGCGGCGUGCUUAACACAUGCAAGUCGAACGGUGAAAGCGGAGCUUGCUCCGCUGGAUCAGUGGCGAACGGGUGAGUAACACGUGGGCAACCUGCCCCUCACUUCGGGAUAACUCCGGGAAACCGGGGCUAAUACCGGAUAUGACCUCCUUGGGCAUCCUUGGAGGUGGAAAGUCUUUCGGUGAGGGAUGGGCCCGCGGCCUAUCAGCUUGUUGGUGAGGUAGUGGCGCACCAAGGCGACGACGGGUAGCCGGCCUGAGAGGGCGACCGGCCACACUGGGACUGAGACACGGCCCAGACUCCUACGGGAGGCAGCAGUGGGGAAUAUUGCGCAAUGGGCGAAAGCCUGACGCAGCAACGCCGCGUGCGGGAUGACGGCCUUCGGGUUGUAAACCGCUUUCAGCAGGGAAGAAGCCGCAAGGUGACGGUACCUGCAGAAGAAGCACCGGCUAACUACGUGCCAGCCGCCGCGGUAA